rnacentral:lncRNA from 1 species
GCGCGACCCUCCGAGACCACGCUCUGCCAGGUGGCCGGCUGGGGCCACCAGUUCGAGGGGGCGGAGGAAUAUGCCAGCUUCCUGCAGGAGGCGCAGGUACCGUUCCUCUCCCUGGAGCGCUGCUCAGCCCCGGACGUGCACGGAUCCUCCAUCCUCCCCGGCAUGCUCUGCGCAGGGUUCCUCGAGGGCGGCACCGAUGCGUGCCAGGUGAGCUCUUAGCCCGGUUGGCGCCCUUCCCCGAGGCCGUCAGGCACAAAUCUCAGGUCCACAGCGCUGAGCUGCGUGUUUCCGACCCAGGGUGAUUCCGGAGGCCCGCUGGUGUGUGAGGACCAAGCUGCAGAGCGCCGGCUCACCCUGCAAGGCAUCAUCAGCUGGGGAUCGGGCUGUGGUGACCGCAACAAGCCAGGCGUCUACACCGAUGUGGCCUACUACCUGGCCUGGAUCCGGGAGCACACCGUUUCCUGAUUGCUCAGGGACUCAUCUUUCCCUCCUUGGUGAUUCCGCAGUGAGAGAGUGGCUGGGGCAUGGAAGGCAAGAUUGUGUCCCAUUCCCCCAGUGCGG